rnacentral:pre_miRNA from 1 species
AGGAGGAACAACCCCAGUGGUGGGGCCUGCCCUGCGCCCUGGAGUCUGCUUCAGCAGUAACUCCGGAGCUCUCUGUCUGCAGGGCCUGGAGGCUCCGGGUCGGG